rnacentral:rRNA from 1 species
UUCCGGUUGAUCCCGCCGGACCUGACUGCUAUCGGAUUGAUACUAAGCCAUGCUAGUCUUUGUAGUAAUACAAGGCAUACGGCUCAGUAACGCGUAGUCAACCUACCCUAUGGACGGGGAUAAUCUCGGGAAACUGAGCAUAAUACCCGACAGACCACUUCUCCUGGAAUGGUUAGUGGUUAAAAUGAUUCGUCGCCAUAGGAUGGGACUGCGGCCUAUCAGCUUGUUGGUGAGGUAAUGGCCCACCAAGGCGAUUACAGGUACGGGCUCUGAGAGGAGAGGCCCGGAGAUGGGUACUGAGACAAGGACCCAGGCCCUAUGGGGCGCAGCAGGCGAGAAAACUUUGCAAUGUGCGAAAGCACGACAAGGUUAAUCCGAGUGAUUUCUGCUAAAGGAAUCUUUUGUUAGUUCUAAAAAUACUAGUGAAUAAGGGGUGGGCAAGUUCUGGUGUCAGCCGCCGCGGUAAAACCAGCACCUCAAGUGGUCAGGAGGAUUAUUGGGCCUAAAGCAUCCGUAGCCUGUUCUAUAAGUUUGCGGUUAAAUCUAUACGCUCAACGUAUAGGCUGCCGUAAAUACUGUAGAACUAGGGAGUGGGAGAGGUAGACGGUACUCGAUAGGAAGGGGUAAAAUCCUUUGAUCUAUUGAUGACCACCUGUGGCGAAGGCGGUCUACCAGAACACGUUCGACGGUGAGGGAUGAAAGCUGGGGGAGCAAACCGGAUUAGAUACCCGGGUAGUCCCAGCUGUAAACGAUGCAGACUCGAUGAUGCAAUGGCAUAGAGCUAUUGCAGUAUCGCAGGGAAGCCGUUAAGUCUGCCGCCUGGGAAGUACGUACGCAAGUAUGAAACUUAAAGGAAUUGGCGGGGGAGCACCACAAGGGGUGAAGCCUGCGGUUCAAUUGGAGUCAACGCCGGG